rnacentral:rRNA from 1 species
CAAUAGCGUAUAUUAAUGUUGUUGCAGUUAAAAAGCUCGUAGUUGGAUUUCGAAUGGGAGCGGUGGGUCGGGUCCGCAAGGGCUCGUUACCUGUUUCGUCUCCGGUUCUUUUUCGGGAUUUGUUUCUGGCGUGGCUGGCAUUGAGUUGUCGGUGGCGUCGGGCCCGUCGUUUACUGUGAACAAAUUAGAGUGUUCAAAGCAAGGUGUGUCUUGAAUACAUUAGCAUGGAAUAAUGAGAUAGGACUUUGGUGGUUUCGGUGAAAGCCGGAUAUUUUGUUGGUUUGCACGCCAAAGUAAUGAUUAAUAGGAGCAGUUGGGGGUAUUCGUAUUCAAUUGUCAGAGGUGAAAUUCUUGGAUUUCUAGAAGACGAACUACUGCGAAAGCAUUUACCAGGGAUGUUUUCAUUGA